rnacentral:rRNA from 1 species
UACGUAGGGUGCAAGCGUUUAAUCGGAAUUACUGGGCGUAAAGCGUGCGCAGGCGGUUAUGUAAGACAGAUGUGAAAUGCCCGGGCUUAACCUGGGAACUGCAUUUGUGACUGCAUGGCUAGAGUUUGGCAGAGGGGGGGUAGAAUUCCACGUGUAGCAGUGAAAUGCGUAGAUAUGUGGAGGAACACCGAUGGCGAAGGCAGCCCCCCUGGGUCAAGACUGACGCUCAUGCAC